rnacentral:rRNA from 1 species
UACGUAGGUGGCAAGCGUUGUCCGGAUUUACUGGGCGUAAAGAGCGCGCAGGCGGUCGAUCAAGUCGCGUGUGAAAGCCCCCGGCUCAACUGGGGAGGGUCACGCGAUACUGAUCGACUCGAAGGCAAGAGAGGGUAGUGGAAUUCCCGGUGUAGUGGUGAAAUUCGUAGAUAUUCGCAAGAACACCAGUGGCGAAGGCGGCUGACUGGUCCGGUUCUGACGCUGAGGCGCGAAAGCGUGGGGAGCAAACAGG